rnacentral:lncRNA from 1 species
AAGUCCUCUCACACCCAGAUCCGCUAGAGGGCAGGGCUACACCUGCUGAGCUCGACCGCUUCCGCCACCAAGAACCCGACGGCAGAAGUCCUCCCUUGUGUGCUAGAGGUCAGGCCCUUUGGAACAAUGCGUCUUUGACCAGGUAUAUCAAGCUUUAGCAGCCUUGUUAGAUGAAAGAAUGGGGGGAAG